rnacentral:rRNA from 1 species
AUUGAACGCUGCGGCAGGCUUAACACAUGCAAGUCGAGCGAGCGGCGGACGGGUGAGUAAUGCUUAGGAAUCUGACUAUUAGUGGGGGACAACAUCUCGAAAGGGAUGCUAAUACCGCAUACUAUCAGAUGAGCAUGGUCGGAUUAGCUAGUUGGUGGGGUAAAGGCCUACAAAGGCGACGAUCCGUAACAGGUCUGAGAGGAUGAUGAGUCACACUGGAACUGAGACACGGUCCAGACUCCUACGGGAGGCAGCAGUUGGGAAUAUGCACAAUGGGCGCAAGCCUGAUGCAGCCAUGCCGCGUGUUUGAAGAAGGCUUUCGGGUUGUAAAGCACUUUCAGCGUGGAGGCGUUACCCGCAGAAGAAGCACCGGCUAACUCCGUGCCAGCAGCCGCGGUAAUAC